UCUUUUAAAAAGAAAAUGUGUGAUUUUAUUUACCAGAUCUUUAUCAGUUAAAAUGGUCCUUUCUGUCUAUCAGGUCGUCUUAGUAAAGCUCACAAGGACAAAGAGAGAGAAAAAGAGCAGGAACAGCAGAGGGAACGAGAGCAGAGGAUAAACAGCAAAGAUGACAGAGGAAAGACAGAUAGAGAUCGAGAGAGGGGGAAGGACAGAGACCGAGAUCAGAAGAAAAGAAAACACAGAGAAUCAAGUGCAGACAAAGAGAAGCCUCCUCCAGCAAAGGAGUCGCGGCCCUCACCUCCAGCCCCCUCAUGGCUCCAAAGAGACCUCCAUGUGCGUUUCAUCGAUAAAGCAUUCAAAGGAGGCAAAUACUACAACUCAAAGAUGAGAGUGGAGGACGUCCUGACGCCCCACACCUGUGUGUGUCGUACAGAGGAGGGCAGACUGCUGGACGAUAUUAGACAGAAGAUGCUAGAGACCAUUGUACCCAAGAACGACUCAGACUACAUUAUGGUGGUUCUGGGAGAACACAAAGGACAGGUAUAUGGAUUCACUUGCUUGUGUAGUACAGCAUGGCUCUGUGCCAAAUCCUAGUGGGCUGCCUACUUAGACAGCAUUGUAAGCAUCAUAGACACACUCCUG